rnacentral:tRNA from 1 species
GCCUUCUUAGCUCAGUGGUAGAGCGCGUGGCUUUUAACCACGUGGUCGGGGUUCGAUCCCCACAGACGGCG